rnacentral:rRNA from 1 species
CCUACGGGAGGCAGCAGUGGGGAAUAUUGGACAAUGGGGGGAACCCUGAUCCAGCCAUGCCGCGUGUGUGAAGAAGGCCCUCGGGUUGUAAAGCACUUUCAGUGAGGAAGAACGCCUGGUGGUUAAUACCCAUCAGGAAAGACAUCACUCACAGAAGAAGCACCGGCUAACUCCGUGCCAGCAGCCGCGGUAAUACGGAGGGUGCGAGCGUUAAUCGGAAUUACUGGGCGUAAAGCGCGCGUAGGUGGCUUGAUAAGCCGGUUGUGAAAGCCCCGGGCUCAACCUGGGAACGGCAUCCGGAACUGGCAAGCUAGAGUGCAGGAGAGGAUGGUAGAAUUCCCGGUGUAGCGGUGAAAUGCGUAGAGAUCGGGAGGAAUACCAGUGGCGAAGGCGGCCUUCUGGACUGACACUGACACUGAGGUGCGAAAGCGUGGGUAGCAAACAGGAUUAGAUACCCUGGUAGUC